GUGGGUGUGGCUCAGUGGCAGAGCACUUGCCUCGCACAUGUGACGCACUGCGUUGGAUCCUCAGCACCACA
rnacentral:tRNA from 1 species